CGAGAAAGCCCGCAAGGGUGAGUAAAGCGGCGCACGGGUGCGUAACACGUGGGUAAUCUGCCCUGGAGUCCGGAAUAACUCGCCGAAAGGCGUGCUAAUGCCGGAUGAGACCACGGGAGCUCCGGCUCCUGCGGGAAAAGGUGGCCUCUGUAUACAAGCUAUCGCUUCAGGAUGAGUCCGCGGCCCAUCAGCUAGUUGGCGGGGUAAUGGCCCACCAAGGCAACGACGGGUAGCUGGUCUGAGAGGACGAUCAGCCACACUGGAACUGAGACACGGUCCAGACUCCUACGGGAGGCAGCAGUGGGGAAUCUUGCGCAAUGGGCGAAAGCCUGACGCAGCAACGCCGCGUGUGUGAUGAAGGUCUUCGGAUCGUAAAGCACUGUCGCGAGGGACG
rnacentral:rRNA from 1 species